AGAGGAACAGAGUCUUGCUGAGGAAGAAGUGAAGGAAGUGACUGAGGACUCUAUUGUCGAGGAACCAGAAGCAAAAGAGGAAGCAGAGCCACAGCAGACCUCCCCCUCUCCACCUCCAAGUCCUGAACCAGUUGAGACAGCGGAGCCAGAGCCAGAGCCAGAGCCUGAAUCACAACCUGAGCCAGAGCCAGAGACCAAGGAAGCCAGUCCAGAAGCAGAGCCUAUAACCCAGCAGCCACAGAAAUCUGAGAAAGACGGUCAAAGCCCCAACGCUGACAAAACAUCUGAAAAACUCCAGUCAGCUGUGAUGCAAUUAAGAGCUGCCUGAUGCGCAUUCCGCACACCUCAGAGUGCUUCGGCAACAUCAACGCAUUCUUCAAAGAAAACGGCAUCUCCACUCCCAAAAUACCCUCCAUGCCUAAGCUACCCACCCAGCUCUCUGACGUUACCAAGUACCUACCCUCCCUACCACCUGAAUUGCGCCAAGAGUUCUCCCAGAUCCGACUCACACAGGUCCCGCGAAAUAUUGCCCAAACUCUGACUGAGUUGUUGCCCAAAAGCUCUGAAGGAUCAGUUGGCCCCAGUCUGUCCAGUCUUUCCCAGAGCUUUUCAGACAUCCCGCAGAAGCUCUCCCAGAUUCCUAGCCGGACGCAGCAGUACUUCCUUAACGUCCAGAACCGCCUCAACAGCCUUAUGCCUCAAGAUGCCUAAGAAACAACAACAGCAAAAUCAGCAGAAAGACAAGAAUCAGCACGAUUUAGAGCUCAACCAGCUCAUCCGACACUCCCCUCUCCCUCCUGCUCACCAUCCUCAGCUCCGCUCCCGCUCCCCGUCGCCAUCCUCUCCUAACGGAAGCGCCCUCGAACUGCCAAAUGUGCCAUCCUACCCACGCCUGCCGCCUAUUGUCAGUCCCCCAUCAAAGCAGCUCAACUCACUUUCCCGCCAGCUGUCAGGUCUCUCUAACCCGGCGUUCUUCAUUGAAGACGACUCAGACAUUCCAGCAAUAAGACGUGCAGACAGCUCAAGCAUAAGCCUUCGUCCAGCCGUCAAUGUAGAGGAUGUUGACUCAGAUCAUGAGAUAGGGGGGAGAGGAAGAGGAGGGGAGGGACAGAGCAAUGUUCCCCAAAUCCUAACCCCACAGGACCCAAAACUUACAACCCUAACUGUCCCCGUGACCCCUUCAGGAGGUCGUCAAAGUAAAGGAGAAAAAGAUAGGAGGCUGCACUCCCAAAGUGAGGACGAUGAUGAUGAAGCAAACAUCCCUGUCAGAGCCUGGCCCAGCCAGUCCAGCCUGCACAGCACAGAUGACAUACUUAAAGAGCGUCCAGCGUCUUCAGCUAGUCAGACCAGUACAGUGGUCAACGAGCGUCUUCAGGAGCUGGUCCGGAUGUUUAAAGAGAGAACCGAGAAGGCUAAGGAGAAACUCAUUGACCCUGACAGCUCAGAUGAAGACAGCAUUAUCCCAUCUCCUCCUCAGGCUUCAGCUCCUCAGCCUGCUCCUGCAGCUCAGCCGGUGGACGAGGGAGAGGCACAAGCAGAGGAGGAGCAGUGUGGCCGCCGCAGCAAGGUGAAAACUCCUCGAUGGAUACAAGCCUGUAUGCACUACCGCUUCCCUGCCAGCAUCGACCCCUUCACCAACCUGAUGUACGUGCUGUGGAUGCUACUGGUCACUCUGGCAUGGAACUGGAACGUGUGGUUCAUCCCUGUGCGCUGGGCGUUUCCCUACCAGACUCCAGACAAUAUUUACUACUGGCUGCUGAUCGACUACCUGUGUGACCUUAUUUACAUUCUGGACAUCAGCAUCUUUCAGCCGCGGCUGCAGUUUAUCCGAGGAGGGGACAUAUUUGAUGUAGCCAGCCUUAUUCCGCUGGAACUCUUCUAUUUUAAAACUGGCGUCAACCCUCUACUUCGCUUACCCAGACUACUGAAGAUCAACUCCUUUUUUGAGUUCAACGAGCGUCUCGAGGCCAUCUUAACCAAAGCCUACAUCUACAGGGUGAUACGUACGACCACCUACCUUCUUUACUGUCUCCACUGCAACGCCUGUCUGUACUACUGGGGCUCUGCCUUCAAUGGACUAGGAUCAACAAAAUGGGUGUAUGAUGGCAAGGGCAACAGUUACAUUCGCUGUUACUACUUUGCGGUGAAGACCCUCAUCACCAUUGGCGGUCUGCCGGACCCCACCACCCUGUUUGAGAUUGUCUUCCAACUUAUCAACUACUUUGUUGGAGUCUUCGCCUUCUCUAUCAUGAUUGGACAGAUGCGUGACGUGGUCGGUGCAGCCACAGCUGGUCAGACUUACUACCGCACAUGUAUGGACAACACGAUUAAAUACAUGUCCUCCUAUCGAAUCCCCAAAGACGUCCAAAACCGUGUCAAAACCUGGUACAACUAUACCUGGCAAUCACAAGGCAUGCUAGAUGAGCAGGAGUUACUGACUCAGUUGCCAGAUAAAAUGCGUCUGGACAUUGCUAUAGAUGUCAACUAUUCCAUCGUCAGCAAAGUCCCCCUUUUCCAGGGUUGUGACAGACAGAUGAUCUUUGACAUGCUGAAAAGCUUACGCUCCGUUGUUUACCUGCCUGGAGAUUAUGUCUGCAAAAAGGGUGAGGUGGGUCGGGAGAUGUACAUCAUAAAAGCAGGGGAGGUGCAGGUGGUUGGAGGGCCUGAUGGAAAGACAGUCUUUGUAACUCUCAGAGCAGGAUCAGUGUUUGGAGAGAUCAGUUUGCUUGCAGUAGGCGGGGUUAACAGGCGCACAGCAAACGUGAUCGCACACGGCUUUGCCAAUCUCUUCAUCCUGGACAAGAAAGACCUGAAUGAGAUCCUGGUCCACUAUCCCGAGUCCAAGAAACUGCUCCGCAAGAAGGCCAGGUUGGACAUCACUGCAGAGGCUAAGGAUCCACCUCAGGUCCCGCCAGCCCCUGUUAGGGCGGAGACCCCUAGACUGCUGAGAGCUGCCCUGGAGAUGACAGAGAGAUCGUCUGGACUUAAAGGAGCUCUGGCUAAAGUCAAAGAGAAGACCAACAAGUCCAGUAUCUCGUUACAGGUAAACAGAGUGAAAACUGAGCAGACCAAAAAAGAAACAGAUGCAUAUGUGGCAGUGGCAAAAUAA
ensembl:lncRNA